rnacentral:rRNA from 1 species
CAGUCGCCGCGGUAACACGUAGGUGGCAAGCGUUGUCCGGAAUUAUUGGGCGUAAAGGGCUCGCAGGCGGUUUCUUAAGUCUGAUGUGAAAGCCCCCGGCUCAACCGGGGAGGGUCAUUGGAAACUGGGAAACUUGAGUGCAGAAGAGGAGAGUGGAAUUCCACGUGUAGCGGUGAAAUGCGUAGAGAUGUGGAGGAACACCAGUGGCGAAGGCGACUCUCUGGUCUGUAACUGACGCUGAGGAGCGAAAGCGUGGGGAGCGAACAGGAUUAGAUACCCGCGUAGUCCCUGUCUCUUAUAC